rnacentral:rRNA from 1 species
UGAGGAAUAUUGGUCAAUGGCCGAGAGGCUGAACCAGCCAAGUCGCGUGAGGGAAGACGGCCCUACGGGUUGUAAACCUCUUUUGUCGGGGAGCAAAGCGAACCACGUGUGGUUCAUUGAGAGUACCCGAAGAAAAAGCAUCGGCUAACUCCGUGCCAGCAGCCGCGGUAAUACGGAGGAUGCGAGCGUUAUCCGGAUUUAUUGGGUUUAAAGGGUGCGCAGGCGGAGGUGCAAGUCAGCGGUCAAAUUGCGGGGCUCAACCCCGUACUGCCGUUGAAACUGCAUCCCUUGAGUGCGCGAGAA